rnacentral:rRNA from 1 species
GACGAACGCUGGCGGCGUGCUUAACACAUGCAAGUCGAGCGAUGAAGCUCCUUCGGGAGUGGAUUAGCGGCGGACGGGUGAGUAACACGUGGGCAACCUGCCUUAUAGAGAGGAAUAGCCAUCCGAAAGGAUGAUUAAUACCUCAUAAUAUUGUAGUUUCGCAUGAAACAACAAUCAAAGGAGCAAUCCACUAUAAGAUGGGCCCGCGGCGCAUUAGCUAGUUGGUGAGGUAACGGCUCACCAAGGCGACGAUGCGUAGCCGACCUGAGAGGGGGAUCGGCAACAUUGGGACUGAGACACGGCCCAGACUCCGACGGGAGGCAGCAGUGGGGAAUAUUGCACAAUGGGGGAAACCCUGAUGCAGCAACGCCGCGUGAGUGAUGACGGCCUUCGGGUCGUAAAGCCCUGUCAGAUGGGACGAACCACCCCGCGAGGGGCCUGACGGUACCAUCGAAGGAAGCACCGGCUAACUCCGUGCCAGC